CUGUAUUUAUCGCGUUUAUUUUUUUGUAAACAAAUUUUUGAAUUAUAAAUUAGCAUUUUGUAUGUUAUUCAGUAAUCUACUUUUAUCGUAUCAAUUGAUUAGGUCAAACUGUUACACUAUUUACUUAUACAAUAAAUCGACUAGGUAAA